AACGAACGCUGGCGGCAGGCCUAAUACAUGCAAGUCGAACGCUCGUAGCAAUACGAGAGUGGCAGACGGGUGAGUAACACGUGGGAACCUUCCCUAUGGUUCGGAAUAGCUCAGGGAAACUUGAGGUAAUACCGGAUAAGCCCUUACGGGGAAAGAUUUAUCGCCAUUGGAUGGGCCCGCGUCGGAUUAGCUAGUUGGUGGGGUAACGGCCUACCAAGGCGACGAUCCGUAGCUGGUCUGAGAGGAUGAUCAGCCACACUGGGACUGAGACACGGCCCAGACUCCUACGGGAGGCAGCAGUAGGGAAUAUUGGACAAUGGGCGCAAGCCUGAUCCAGCCAUGCCGCGUGAGUGACGAAGGCCUU
rnacentral:rRNA from 1 species